rnacentral:rRNA from 1 species
UACAGAGGGUGCGAGCGUUGUCCGGAAUCACUGGGCGUAAAGGGCGCGUAGGUGGCGGCAUAAGGCCGCGGUGAAAGUUCGGGGCUCAACCCUGAAUCGGCCGCGGCGACUGUGUCGCUAGGGCACCGUAGAGGCAGAUGGAAUUCCGGGUGUAGCGGUGGAAUGCGUAGAGAUCCGGAAGAACACCAGUGGCGAAGGCGGUCUGCUGGGCGGUGGGUCCGCGAGGAUCCGAAUAGCCGACACUGAGGCGCGACAGCGUGGGGAGCAAACAGG